rnacentral:rRNA from 1 species
GACGAACGCUGGCGGCGUGCUUAACACAUGCAAGUCGAACGGUGAAGCGCCUUCCUUUUUGGUGGGUGUGGAUGAGUGGCGAACGGGUGAGUAACACGUGAGUAACCUGCCCCCUUCUUCUGGAUAACCGCAUGAAAGUGUGGCUAAUACGGGAUAUUCUGGGUCUGUCGCAUGAUGGGUGUGGGACAGAUAUUGUUUCGGUUGUGGAUGGGGUCGCGGCCUAUCAGCUUGUUGGUGGGGUGAUGGCCUACCAAGGCGGUGACGCGUAGCCGGCCUGAGAGGGUGGACGGUCACACUGGGACUGAGAGACGGACCAGACUCCGACGGGAGGCAGCAGGGGGGAAUAUGGCACAAUGGGCGCCAGCCUGAUGCAGCGACGCCGCGUGAGGGAUGGAGGCCUUCGGGUUGUGAACCUCUUUCGCCAGUGAAGAAGGCCGGCCUCGUUUGUGGGUGGGUUGACGGUAGCUGGAUAAGAAGCGCCGGCUAACUACGUG